ACUGGAGGACCAAGAAAGCUAAGUCUGAUGAAGCAAGACAAAGGGGUGGAGAGAGCUGCCCUUAUUGGAGAAAACCACAGGGCUGACUGUACUACCCAACAUCU